CUUUCCAAUCUCACUUAACCUUUGUUUUCCCUGAGCUCCUCUGAAUCAUUGAGCAUGCUGUUCCCACUGCCUACACAUCACUUCCUCAGAGACACCUUUUCCUAGAGACACCUUUUCUCUGAGGUCACCUUUCCUGACCUCAGAGACACCUUUGCUGACCAUCCAGAGACACCUUUUCCUGACCAUCCAGUAUAAAAUAGGUUUCCCAGUUUCCCAGUUAUUCUCUCUCUUAAUUCCCUGUUCAUC
rnacentral:lncRNA from 1 species